UAUAAUAGUGGAAUUUUUGUAUGGCAGAACAAUAUUCUUGAGUUGGGCCAGCCAAAGUUACUAUCAAAGCAAAUCUAGACUAUUCCACUAUUAGAUUUUCUUGUAACUGGAAUUUAUUAUCUCGCGAUAACCUAUUGGCUACGUUAGUAUAUCGUGUGUCUAUGUAAAUAUAAACAUCUUUGGCAAGGUUCUCGUUCGAUUAAUAAAUUACAAAUAUUCACUAUACUCACGUUGCUGAUCAGCCGUACCAUGCAGUAUGUCAGGGAAAGACAGAAUAUAAUCGCAAGAACUAAUCUACGCCGAAGGAAUCGAGUGAUAACAGCAUACCACAUUGCCAGUGCUAGCACCACACUCCGUGCCUAGAUCAAUUGUCGAAGGAGGCCUAAUUUUUUAAAUGGAUAUGCGAUAAACGCAUUGGACUACGAUAUGGCACCGAACUGCAAUGUACAGGGAUACCAUGAGGUGAGUCUUUGUACUUAUCGUUUCAGAAACCACGGACUUCGUACAGCAAAUAUAAUUCACCUAUCGGGCACAAAAUGUUAUAGUUGUAAGCCGAUUCACCCAAAUAUUAUAACUCUGUUUUACUUAUAA